rnacentral:rRNA from 1 species
UUGAACGCUGGCGGCAUGCCUUACCCAUGCCAGUCGAACGGCAGCAUGAUCUAGCUUGCUAGAUUGAUGGCGAGUGGCGAACGGGUGAGUAAUACAUCGGAACGUGCCCUGUAGUGGGGGAUAACUAGUCGAAAGAUUAGCUAAUACCGCAUACGACCUGAGGGUGAAAGUGGGGGACCGCAAGGCCUCAUGCUAUAGGAGCGGCCGAUGUCUGAUUAGCUAGUUGGUGAGGUAAAGGCUCACCAAGGCGACGAUCAGUAGCUGGUCUGAGAGGACGAUCAGCCACACUGGGACUGAGACACGGCCCAGACUCCUACGGGAGGCAGCAGUGGGGAAUUUUGGACAAUGGGCGAAAGCCUGAUCCAGCAAUGCCGCGUGUGUGAAGAAGGCCUUCGGGUUGUAAAGCACUUUUGUCCGGAAAGAAAUGGCUCUGGUUAAUACCUGGGGUCGAUGACGGUACCGGAAGAAUAAGGACCGGCUAACUACGUG